CUCCUCUUUACUUGCCUUACAAGUAGAUCCCUCGUUAACCUUCCCCCCGACUCUGCUUCCUCCCUCCUCACUUCCCCCAAAUCCCCCACCCGAACCCUCGGAAUCCCUCCCUCGCCGCCGCCGAUCUCCCCGCCGCCGAGAUGUCUCGCCGCUACGACAGCCGCACCACGAUCUUCUCGCCGGAGGGCCGGCUGUACCAGGUGGAGUACGCGAUGGAGGCGAUCGGGAACGCCGGGUCGGCGCUCGGGAUCCUGGCGGCCGACGGCGUCGUCCUCGUCGGCGAGAAGAAGGUCACCUCCAAGCUGCUCCAGUCCUCCCGAUCCGCCGAGAAGAUGUACAAGAUCGACUCCCACCUCGCCUGCGCCGUCGCCGGGAUCAUGUCCGACGCCAACAUCCUCAUCAACACCGCCCGCCUCCACGCCCAGCGCUACGCGCUCUCCUACCAGGAGCCCAUCCCCGUCGAGCAGCUCGUCCAGUCCCUCUGCGACACCAAGCAGGGCUACACCCAGUUCGGGGGCCUCCGCCCCUUCGGCGUCUCCUUCCUCUUCGCCGGGUGGGACAAGAACCACGGCUUCCAGCUCUACAUGAGCGACCCCUCCGGCAACUACGGCGGCUGGAAGGCCGCCGCCGUCGGGGCCAACAGCCAGGCCGCCCAGUCCAUGCUCAAGCAGGACUACAAGGACGGCAUGACCCGCGAGGAGGCCGUCGCCCUUGCCCUCAAGGUCCUCAGCAAGACCAUGGAUUCCACUAGUUUGACUGCGGAUAAGCUGGAGCUGGCCGAGGUCUUCGUGCAGCCCAGCACUGGGGAGGUGCAGUACCAGGUGUGCUCCCCUGACGCCAUGGGGAAGCUGCUUGCCAAGGCUGGGCUCACGCAGCCCGCGCCUGAGGCCUGAUGUGCUGGUUUGCUGUGGCUUGUGAUGCCUACUGCUCUUAGACCGCUUAAUCAGUGAAAAUUGUGAUCCUUGUGCCCAUGCUUGAUUGUUAUUGUGACUAGGGGAUAUGGAAGAAUGCGCUUAUAGAAAACUGCAGUGAAACCUAUGUGUUUGACCAUGUUCUCAUCAAGUGUGUCCAGUAAGCAAGCCCAAAUUGUAAGGAGGUUCUGGUGCUUGGGCCUGUGUUUAUAAAGUUUAGCGCCUUGGAUAGGUUCAAUACUCCUAUGCACCAUCUAGUUUGCCCCAUGGAGAAGUUGGUAAUUAUGUAUGAUUGCAUAAAACAUCAUAUAAGAUUGUAGGUUGGAAUCUUGGUGGUCACAUGUUUUCUUGUUGCUCUAUGUCUAGGUUAUCAUAGCCAACAACAAUGAUCAUGUUAGAGCAAGACAAUGGAAAUAGUAGAAGCAUUGUAUGCUACCAACUGUUUAUGCCGC
rnacentral:rRNA from 1 species